rnacentral:rRNA from 4 species
AGAGUUUGAUCAUGGCUCAGAUUGAACGCUGGCGGCAGGCCUAACACAUGCAAGUCGAGCGGUAGCACAGAGAGCUUGCUCUCGGGUGACGAGCGGCGGACGGGUGAGUAAUGUCUGGGAAACUGCCUGAUGGAGGGGGAUAACUACUGGAAACGGUAGCUAAUACCGCAUAACGUCGCAAGACCAAAGUGGGGGACCUUCGGGCCUCAUGCCAUCAGAUGUGCCCAGAUGGGAUUAGCUAGUAGGUGGGGUAACGGCUCACCUAGGCGACGAUCCCUAGCUGGUCUGAGAGGAUGACCAGCCACACUGGAACUGAGACACGGUCCAGACUCCUACGGGAGGCAGCAGUGGGGAAUAUUGCACAAUGGGCGCAAGCCUGAUGCAGCCAUGCCGCGUGUGUGAAGAAGGCCUUCGGGUUGUAAAGCACUUUCAGCGGGGAGGAAGGCGUUAAGGUUAAUAACCUUGGCGAUUGACGUUACCCGCAGAAGAAGCACCGGCUAACUCCGUGCCAGCAGCCGCGGUAAUACGGAGGGUGCAAGCGUUAAUCGGAAUUACUGGGCGUAAAGCGCACGCAGGCGGUCUGUCAAGUCGGAUGUGAAAUCCCCGGGCUCAACCUGGGAACUGCAUUCGAAACUGGCAGGCUAGAGUCUUGUAGAGGGGGGUAGAAUUCCAGGUGUAGCGGUGAAAUGCGUAGAGAUCUGGAGGAAUACCGGUGGCGAAGGCGGCCCCCUGGACAAAGACUGACGCUCAGGUGCGAAAGCGUGGGGAGCAAACAGGAUUAGAUACCCUGGUAGUCCACGCCGUAAACGAUGUCGAUUUGGAGGUUGUGCCCUUGAGGCGUGGCUUCCGGAGCUAACGCGUUAAAUCGACCGCCUGGGGAGUACGGCCGCAAGGUUAAAACUCAAAUGAAUUGACGGGGGCCCGCACAAGCGGUGGAGCAUGUGGUUUAAUUCGAUGCAACGCGAAGAACCUUACCUGGUCUUGACAUCCACAGAACUUAGCAGAGAUGCUUUGGUGCCUUCGGGAACUGUGAGACAGGUGCUGCAUGGCUGUCGUCAGCUCGUGUUGUGAAAUGUUGGGUUAAGUCCCGCAACGAGCGCAACCCUUAUCCUUUGUUGCCAGCGGUCCGGCCGGGAACUCAAAGGAGACUGCCAGUGAUAAACUGGAGGAAGGUGGGGAUGACGUCAAGUCAUCAUGGCCCUUACGACCAGGGCUACACACGUGCUACAAUGGCAUAUACAAAGAGAAGCGACCUCGCGAGAGCAAGCGGACCUCAUAAAGUAUGUCGUAGUCCGGAUUGGAGUCUGCAACUCGACUCCAUGAAGUCGGAAUCGCUAGUAAUCGUAGAUCAGAAUGCUACGGUGAAUACGUUCCCGGGCCUUGUACACACCGCCCGUCACACCAUGGGAGUGGGUUGCAAAAGAAGUAGGUAGCUUAACCUUCGGGAGGGCGCUUACCACUUUGUGAUUCAUGACUGGGGUGAAGUCGUAACAAGGUAACCGUAGGGGAACCUGCGGUUG